CACCUGAGUUACGCAAGACAACCCGCUGAACUUAAGCAUAUCAGUAAGCGGAGGAAAAGAAACUAACAAGGAUUGCCCCAGUAGCGGCGAGUGAACAGGCAAAAGCUCAAAAUGAAAAUCCUUUUACACAGAGAGAAGGAAUUGUAAUCUAGAGGACUGUUGCGAAGGCAUAAUCUCAGCACGAGUCCCUUGGAAUAGGGCGCCAAAGAGGGUGAUAGCCCCAUAGACGGCUGAGAGUUGGCUGUAGGAACGGAUCCAAAGAGUCGGGUUGUUUGGGAUUGCAGCCCUAAGUGGGAGAUAAACUUCUUCUAAAGCUAAAUAUUGAUGGGAAACCGAUAGCGAACAAGUACUACGAAGGAAAGAUGAAAAGAACUUUGAAAAGAGGGUUAAAAGACUUGAAAUCGUUGAGUAGGAAGCGGUUGGAGGGCAGUCACUUGCGGACGAUAUUGGCGAGAGCUGGAGCCGGCUGGCGGGUGCGAAGGUUCCUUCAAAAGGCCUAGCGCUCGGGCAGCAACGGACGGCUGCGUCUUAUUCGGACGUAAAAGACAGAUUGGGCGUCAAGGGGGCCGGGAAUAAAGAGCGAGGGUCGUCCCUGGUUUACCAGGAGCCUUGUUCCAGAAACCGGCCCCGGCGUCGAGGGAAUUCCUGCGGGAGAAUCUGUUGAAUCGACGUCUCCAACUGACCCGUCUUGAAACAC
rnacentral:rRNA from 1 species